rnacentral:rRNA from 1 species
UGCAGAGGUCUCAAGCGUUGUUCGGAUUCAUUGGGCGUAAAGGGUGCGUAGGCGGCGCGGUAAGUCGGGUGUGAAAUCUCGGAGCUUAACUCCGAAACUGCAUUCGAUACUGCCGUGCUUGAGGACUGGAGAGGAGACUGGAAUUUACGGUGUAGCGGUGAAAUGCGUAGAUAUCGUAAGGAAGACCAGUGGCGAAGGCGGGUCUCUAGACAGUUCCUGACGCUGAGGCACGAAGGUCAGGGGAGCAAACGGG